UUGGACUGGUAGAGCAUACCAAGGCGCUUGAGAGAACUACGUUGAAGGAACUCGGCAAAAUGCCUCCGUAACUUCGGGAGAAGGAGGCCCCGUUGGCGCGCAAGCGUUGGCGGGGGGCACAGACCAGGGGGUGGCGACUGUUUACUAAAAACACAGGUCUCUGCGAAGCCGUAAGGCGACGUAUAGGGACUGACGCCUGCCCGGUGCCGGAAGGUUAAAAGGAGGGGUGCAAGCUCCGAAUUGAAGCCCCGGUAAACGGCGGCCGUAACGAUAACGGUCCUAAGGUAGCGAAAUUCCUUGUCGGGUAAGUUCCGACCUGCACGAAUGGCGUAACGACUUCCCCGCUGUCUCCAACGUAGACUCAGCGAAAUUGAACUCCCCGUGAAGAUGCGGGGUUCCCGCGGUCAGACGGAAAGACCCCGUGCACCUUUACUACAGCUUCACACUGGCAUCAGGCCAGGCAUGUGCAGGAUAGGUGGCAGGCUUUGAAGCGGGGACGCCAGUUCCCGGGGAGCCUCCCUUGAGAUACCACCCUUGCCUUGCCUGAUGUCUAACCGCGGACCGUUAUCCGGUUCCGGGACCCUGUGUGGCGGGUAGUUUGACUGGGCGGUCGCCUCCCAAAGAGUAACGGAGGCGCGCGAUGGUGGGCUCAGACCGGUCGGAAAUCGGUCGUCGAGUGCAAUGGCAUAAGCCCGCCUGACUGCGAGUCUGACAAGACGAGCAGAGACGAAAGUCGGCCAUAGUGAUCCGGUGGUCCCGCGGGGAAGGGCCAUCGCUCAACGAAUAAAAGGUACGCCGGGGAUAACAGGCUGAUACUGCCCAAGAGUCCAUAUCGACGGCAGUGUUUGGCACCUCGAUGUCGGCUCAUCACAUCCUGGGGCUGGAGAAGGUCCCAAGGGUACGGCUGUUCGCCGUUUAAAGUGGUACGUGAGCUGGGUUUAGAACGUCGUGAGACAGUUCGGUCCCUAUCUGCCGUGGGUGUUGGAGACUUGAGAGGAGUUGCCCCUAGUACGAGAGGACCGGGGUGAACGCACCACUGGUGGACCUGUUGUCGUGCCAACGGCAGUGCAGGGUAGCUAUGUGCGGACAGGAUAACCGCUGAAGGCAUCUAAGCGGGAAGCCCCCCUCGAAACCAGGUCUCCCCUGAGGGCCGUGGAAGACCACCACGUCGAUAGGCCAGAGGUGCAAGCGCAGCAAUGCGUUCAGCUGACCGGUACUAAUCGCCU
rnacentral:rRNA from 1 species